UACGUAGGGUGCGAGCGUUGUCCGGAAUUAUUGGGCGUAAAGAGCUCGUAGGCGGUCUGUCGCGUCGAAUGUGAAAACCCGGGGCUCAACUCCGGGCUUGCAUUCGAUACGGGAGGGCUAGAGUUCGGUAGGGGAGUCUGGAAUUCCUGGUGUAGCGGUGAAAUGCGCAGAUAUCAGGAAGAACACCCGUGGCGAAGGCGGCUCUCUGGAACGCAACUGACGCUGAGACGCGAAAGCGUGGGGAGCAAACAGG
rnacentral:rRNA from 1 species